UGGGGAAUUUUGGACAAUGGGGGCAACCCUGAUCCAGCAAUGCCGCGUGAGUGAAGAAGGCCUUCGGGUUGUAAAGCUCUUUUGUCAGGGAAGAAACGGUAGUAGCGAAUAACUACUACUAAUGACGGUACCUGAAGAAUAAGCACCGGCUAACUACGUGCCAGCAGCCGCGGUAAUACGUAGGGUGCAAGCGUUAAUCGGAAUUACUGGGCGUAAAGCGUGCGCAGGCGGUUGUGUAAGUCAGAUGUGAAAUCCCCGGGCUCAACCUGGGAAUUGCAUUUGAGACUGCACGGCUAGAGUGUGUCAGAGGGGGGUAGAAUUCCACGUGUAGCAGUGAAAUGCGUAGAUAUGUGGAGGAAUACCGAUGGCGAAGGCAGCCCCCUGGGAUAACACUGACGCUCAUGCACGAAAGCGUGGGGAGCAAACGGGAUUAGAUACCCCAGUAGUCCCUGAGCGGGCUGGCAAGGCGCAU
rnacentral:rRNA from 1 species